UACGAAGGGGGCUAGCGUUGUUCGGAUUUACUGGGCGUAAAGCGUGCGCAGGCGGUUUUGUAAGUCUGUCGUGAAAUCCCCCGGGCUCAACCUGGGAAUUGCGAUGGAGACUGCAAGGCUAGAAUCUGGCAGAGGGGGGUAGAAUUCCACGUGUAGCAGUGAAAUGCGUAGAGAUGUGGAGGAACACCGAUGCGAAGGCAGCCCCUGGGUCAAGAUUGACGCUCAUGCACGAAAGCGUGGGGAGCAACAGG
rnacentral:rRNA from 1 species